ACUCAUUUUUUAAGAUGGCAGACCAAGAGUCAUGGCUUUUUCCCUAAUUUUUGAUCCCUGCCUCCCAAUUUUGCCCUCGAUUCAAUGGUGUUUCUCAUUGUGGUUCCUGAACGUAGAAAUUGAUAAGGCAAGGAUGAUCUUCACAUUUAAUUGGAAGAAACCCAAUCGCCCUUCCGUUUCUCCCUGGAGUUUCUAUUCCUCUGUUUCUUUGUAUUAGGGUAUAUAAGACCCAUAAAACCCUUCAAUGGAACAUCAUUCUCAACAACACGAUUCCUACAAAACAAUUCGAUACUGUCACGCUUUUCUCAGCCAUUGAUCGGAGCUUUUCCUCUACCUCUUCCGAUCUGAUUCGCGCCACUCUCUUUCCCUCAGACGGCAUCGGUCCAGAGAUCGCUGAAUCCGUCAAACAGAAUGAAAUAGGUUAAUUGGAGGUGGUAUCAUUAUGUUUGGGGCUCCUAUGAUAUGAAGGUUGCAAGCUCUUGGUUUAGGUUGUUUUGGUGGAGGAGGAAAUGAACCGUAGUUGAUGGAAAAGAGUGUUUUCAGGGAGUUCACCGGUUUGGUGGAUUCACGGCGGCAAUGGUGUUUCAGCAGCGACAUGAGAUUUCAUGGACCAGCUUAAGGUUCAACUUGAACAAGCCUACGUUGAGGAAUUUAGGUCACACUCCGGUGAGAACUCCGGCAAACUAAGUUGGGAAAAUCAUUCUGGUUCGAUGAAUCAGGGUUUAGGUCACACUCCGGGGGGGUACUCCGGAGAACUAAGUUCAUUGCAUCAGAAGACAUGAGUGUAGGUUCCGGCAAUCUACGAUUUGGUAGAUGCAAAUUGAAGAUAUGGAUCUUAGCUUUUAGAUACAACAGUAAAGCGAAAGGCAAAAAAUGAACAGAAAAAUUGACGUGAAGGUUGAUGUUGCUAGCGUUGGUGAGGCCAAAGAGGACAUGAGGAAAUUGUAAUACAUACCCAAGUUCGGGUCAAGGAUAAGCUGAUGGCUCUUCCACCAUCGAGUUGCUUGAUGUGAGAAUAUGGAGAAGGUAGCAUUGGAUUAGUGGGACUGGUCUCACAAGCUGUUCAUGAGGAUGGUCGCCAAGGAGUAUGUUUUCUUGUUUUAUUUCCUCCUUUAGUUCCCAAUACAUUUUUCCACUAAAAUUAGAUGUGGUAAUUUUGACCCGUUUACUUUAUGAAUAUGUCGAUACGGGUUAUGCAAUUUUCAAGUUAGAGGUAAUGGGUGGGUCAAAAAGAAUCCGGGUCAAAACAGUGAUUUUUUAGCAUGAAUCAAAACAGGUCAACCUUUUUGGGAGUUUUACAAAGCACUCAAAUUUCUAAAUUAUUAUUAUGAAACUUAUAUAAUUACAAUGAUUUAGCUUUAGAUGAUUCAAAGACCUGAAUGACAUGUACUUAGUUUUAAUGAAAAAAUAAUUCGUUUGGUAAGUGUGAAAAAAGAUGUCGUUUUAAAAUUAUGGUAUACUUUAAUGCAACUUAUGGUUCACUGAUGAAGACAUACAUGGGUGCUUAUUAAUGCAUUAAUACAACUAUAUUUGAUCCAGCUUGUUUUACGAAACAUGUUGGAUUCGCCAUCUUAAUAAGUAUGACAAACCUAUAUAGUUGACGAAUUGGUCAUCAUGUAAUUGUAGUUAACCACAUUCCAUGGUCUCAAAAUCAUUGACCAUGGAACGCUAUGCCCCUACAACAAAGGAUCUUGCAUCAAGAGAUGUUGUUUCAAGUAUGUAUGACCAUGGAAAUCCGUGAAGGUCGUGGUGUGUUUAAUAACUAACUUCAUCUCAACUGCCAAAAGUAGUUAUUCAUUUGCUCGUUUUAGUUUUAAUUAAUAUAGAACAAAUGAGAGCCCAAACUUUUUAUUUCAUUUACUAUCCAGUCAGUACCCUUGAUCACUAAAUCUUUAGUUCUAUAUCAUUUACCACGCUUCAUGGAACCUUUAAGAAAGUGGUCAUGUAUACCAUAAAGGUUGGUAAAUAUGCAUUUGUCUCUCUUGUUAUUAAUUCUUUCUUACAAUAUUAGUAUAUUGCAAUUUAAAAAAAAACGAUAUGCCACAGGAGUAACAACGAUGAGUAGUUAAGUUGCAUCUUGCUGCAAUUCUUUUUUUAUUUGUUGUUUUAGUUUGGUUAUGAUGUUGUCGUAUGCACGUCAAGGUGGCAGGGCCAGGAGGUAUGUUAAACGGGUCGACUUGGCGGGUCAAACUGACACAAAUAUGGGAAAAAUCAGAGCUUUGAAAAGAAACAUAGCUAAACUUGCAACGUUGGGUAUAUAUUGCUAUUGUUAAAUGGACUCUUAUGGCAACCUAAGAAUGAGAAUCCUUAUGCGCCUGCAGCUCUGGAAAGAGAGAAGCCUGAGACUUCAGCAUAAGGCCCAAUGUCUUCUUUAUUUUGUGUUGAUUGUGUUUUUUUUUUACGGAGGACAUAGUUACACGUUUCAUUUAACUACUCUAAAAACCUUGACUAAAGUUAGUUUCAACAUGUCAUUCAUGCAUGUGUACUAUUCUACUUUAUGAACUGUAUCAUCGUUUUA